UUGGCAGCUUCCAAAUUUUUAUUCCCAAACAUUAAAAUAAGAAAUACUUGUAAUCUGAUCUGAAUUUAGUGACGAAGUGAUGAAUAAAGAGGGCAAUUUCAUUCAAAUUAACUCCGACGAAAUCCUGGGCAACAUGCUACUUCCCCCAAAUGGCAUGAAAAAAUCGCAGCGACAUGGAAGAUGCCUUCAAUAUGUGAUAUAUAAAUCUAUAAAUCAAUGAAAUUGCACCGUUGGAGAUUACACCUUUUUCAUAAAAAUGCACCGUUACAAAAAAAUCUCUGGAACGAAGGAAAAAAGCAAGUGCAGUUAGGGAGUAAGGAAUUUAAAAUUAGGAGGAAUUAUAAAUAACUGUGAGCAGAAUUGUAUUACGCAUUCCCUUUUGCGGAGAACAGAAUGAAAUUGCACCGUUGGAGAUUACACCUUUUUCAUAAAAAUGCAGCGUUACAAAAAAAUCUCUGGAACGAAGGAGAAAAGCAAGUGCCGUUAGGGAGUAAGGAAUUUAAAAUUAGGAGCAAUUAUAAAUAACCGGGCACCACAAAAGAAGCAGAGAAAAGGAGGCUACAGCACAGGAUGAGAAGAGGCAGAUUAGUCCAAUUUAUCAUACGCUAGCAGAAGCCUUUGAAACAUCACCCUUCAUGCAUAUCAAUGAAAGAGGUUUUGAGAACAGUUUUGAUGAUGGUAGUACUUCAGGAAAACACCACAUGGGUUAGAUGGACAUAAACUCUUUUAGAUCAUUUGCAGUGGAUAGAGAAGUCAACGGGAAAGAAGGCAACCUGGCAAAAAUUAGAUUAGUGAUGUUUUCUUCCCCUUUGUGAAUAUUAGGCUUCUUUGCCAAUGUUGUGUUGCAACUUGCAAAAGAAGAGGCAGAGAAGAGGAGGCAGCAAUACAGGAAAGAGAAGAGGUAGUGAAGAGGAGGCGGCAACACAGUAAUGAGAAAGGCAGAACUAUUCUUCUUACUACUAGAAUUAUAAAAGCUUGCCAUUUGGUUUCAGGCGAACAGCCAUGUCAGAAGAAGCAAGGUGCACUUUUCUGUUCUAUGUAGCAAUAAAACUCACAGAUAAACUCUGUAUUAGAACACGCCAAUUAGUCGUACUUUGGGUUACUCUUUAGAUAUUAUUACUUUUUAGAUAUAGCCAAUUCUAAUGUAAAAUAUAUUAGAAUGUGUGUU